rnacentral:rRNA from 1 species
ACGCCGCGUGAGUGAAGAAGGUUUUCGGAUCGUAAAGCUCUGUUGUUGGUGAAGAAGGAUAGAGGUAGUAACUGGCCUUUAUUUGACGGUAAUCAACCAGAAAGUCACGGCUAACUACGUGCCAGCAGCCGCGGUAAUACGUAGGUGGCAAGCGUUGUCCGGAUUUAUUGGGCGUAAAGCGAGCGCAGGCGGAAAAAUAAGUCUAAUGUGAAAGCCCUCGGCUUAACCGAGGAACUGCAUCGGAAACUGUUUUUCUUGAGUGCAGAAGAGGAGAGUGGAACUCCAUGUGUAGCGGUGGAAUGCGUAGAUAUAUGGAAGAACACCAGUGGCGAAGGCAGCUCUCUGGUCUGCAACUGACGCUGAGGCUCGAAAGCAUGGGUAGCGAACAGGAUUAGAUACCCUGGUAGUCCAUGCCGUAAACGAUGAGUGCUAAGUGUUGGGAGGUUUCCGCCUCUCAGUGCUGCAGCUAACGCAUUAAGCACUCCGCCUGGGGAGUACGACCGCAAGGUUGAAACUCAAAGGAAUUGACGGGGGCCCGCACAAGCGGUGGAGCAUGUGGUUUAAUUCGAAGCAACGCGAAGAACCUUACCAGGUCUUGACAUCUAGUGCCAUCUCCAGAGAUGAAGAGU